rnacentral:lncRNA from 1 species
CAAUUGAUCCCUCUUCGGUCUGCAAUAAACCAAAUGCUGUCUAGUAAGGUUUGACCAAGUGAGAUGGAAAAUGAAGUGGUAGGCUCCAAAACAGGCUUGCUUAUUGGAGACUUAUCCACCACAUGGUGAUGCCUUUCCUGACUUCCUUGAUUGCAGUGUCGGAUGUGUCCUGCUCCUUGGAAAGGGUUAAGUGAUUCCUUUGUCCUUAGUAGAAUGUGAUCUCUACUUACCGUGUCUUGUGUCCUUCAGGUGGCAGUGGAGAGCUGUGACCAUCCCGAGCAGUGCAAGGACUCUACUGAUGCUUUUGGUGGACAGAGCAGGAACCCACAUCCAUAGAUAGACACCGAGAUCCAUUCCUUUAUUAGUUUGGCAAACUCUGUUUUCCCCUGAGGUCAUCCCCACACUUGCAGAGGUCCUAUGGGCUUGGUGUUGGUUUUCCCUUGUGCUUACUGGGCUUUCCAAGCUUUUUUCCCUUACUUGAC